GCUCAGAACGAACGCUGGCGGCGUGCUUCACCAUGCAAGUCGAACGAACCUUCGGGUUAGUGGCGGACGGGUGAGUAACGCGUGAGAAUCUGCCCUCAGGAGGGGGAUAACGGUUGGAAACGACCGCUAAUACCCCAUAUGCCGAGAGGUGAAAAGAAAUUCGCCUGAGGAUGAGCUCGCGUCUGAUUAGCUAGUUGGUGUGGUAAUGGCGCACCAAGGCUUCGAUCAGUAGCUGGUCUGAGAGGAUGAUCAGCCACACUGGGACUGAGACACGGCCCAGACUCCUACGGGAGGCAGCAGUGGG
rnacentral:rRNA from 1 species